AAUUUUGGCCAAUGGGGGCAACCCUGAUCUAGCCAUCCCGCGUGUAUGAUGAAGGCCUUCGGGUUGUAAUGUACUUUUGGCAGAGAAUAUAAGGUAUCUCCUACUACGAUAUACUGCUGACGGUAUCUGCAGAAUAAGCCCCGGCUACCUACGUUCCAGCAGCCGCGGUAAUACGUACGGUUCAAGCGUUAAUCGGAAUUACUGGGCGUAAAGCGUGUGUAGGCGGUGCGGAAAGAAAGAUGUGAAAUCCCAGGGCGCAACCUUGGAACGGCAUUUUGAACUGCCGAGCUAGAGUAUGUCAGAGGGGGGUAGAAUUCCACGUGGAGGAGUGAAAUGCGUAGAUAUGUGGAGGAAUACCGAUGGCGAAGGCAGCCCCCUGGGAUAAUACUGACGCUCAGACACGAAAGCGUGGGGAGCAAACA
rnacentral:rRNA from 1 species